CACCGGCCAACGUCGGAUCGGCUCCCGAUCGCGUUGUUAUCAAUUAAUAAUCCUUGCUAAUCUGCAGUAAUUAAAUCGCGACGACCUGGCUGAGACCAUUAAUUUGCGCACACCGUCCGUGAUAUGUUAAUACGUUGUAACAAACGGUAUUUCUGUACGAAAUCAUGUGACUUCUGGGCGUUGUUCAUCGUUGAAGGAUAGUCACGCGAUAACUCACCGGUGAUACGACGUUUGUAUCGCGAAACGUAGGCUGAAACACGCGAGUAAAGUGCGGAGACGCGCAAGCGAACAGCAUGCUGGUGCUCUUCGACGUGAUCAUCGGUUUAGUGGACGCUAGGCGGGAGAGAGGAUAAAAUUUGACCGAUGUUCACCGUAUUCACACGAUCGCCUGCAUCGAACGGGAAUGAAGGAAAACACCAACCGUAAUCACCGGAGAUUUAUAAAGAAAAAAAUCAGACAUAACAACUUUCGCGAUGCAAAUCCCGAUUUUGUCGAAUCUCUUACCUUCUCCAAAGUAUUUCGCCACUUUUCCAUUGGCCUUUCGUUUCACGUUGACACGAAAAAAUGGGAUUGUCACAUGAUGUUAGUUUUGAAAGAAUAUUCGCGUUAUGUUGUACGUCAUAAGCAUGCUUUAUAUAAAUAUAUGUUAUUACGAAACAGACAUUGUAAUUCAUAGAGUAAAUAAUAAAAACUAUUCAUCCGUUAGAAUCAAUAUUGACUUGUUUAUCGAUUCGGAAA